rnacentral:lncRNA from 1 species
GCAACUCUUGCAACUGAUAGAGCCAGAUAAUGCAAAGAGUAAUUGUGAUACUACUACUACUGUUCAUGUAUCGGGUAUGAUGAUUUGUCCUUCUCUCAUUCCUGAUGUUGACAAAUGGAUCAUUGAUACAGGAGCAUCCAAACACAUAGUACACAGUUUGAGUAUGUUAACACAAUAUAGUUCCUUAAAUAGAGAUCUUUGUGACAAAGUACAUCUUGCACAUGUCAGUCACAUUGGGUCUUAUCGAGUUUUAGGAGGAGCUGAGAUCUCAAAUGUGCUACACAUUCUUGAAUUUCACUAUAAUCUUCUAUCAAUAUCCAAGUUAACAAGGGAACUAAAUUUUUGUGCUAUCUUUUAUCCUGAUCAUUGUGUUUUUCAGGACCUCUCAAGUGGGAAUGUGAGGGGGACUGGCACACUGGAGAAUGAUCUGUACGUGGUUCAUGUUGAUACUCAGUUGAAGACUCAGGGAACUCAAUUGAAGUCUCAGCAGGAUCAAGCUACUACUGCUAAUGUGGUUUCUUCUACUAGACCUAACAACUUGGCUUUAUGGCAUCAAAGGCUGGGUCAUGUACAUGUUAGUGUACUGAGAACACUUAGUUGUUGCAAACAUAUGUCUUCUUCCUUUACUGAUAUAUGUACUAUGUGUCC